rnacentral:rRNA from 1 species
ACGCACGCUGGCGGCGUGCUUAACACAUGCAAGUCGAACGCUGAAGCCCCAGCUUGCUGGUGUGGAUGAGUGGCGAACGGGUGAGUAAUACGUGAGUAACCUGCCCUUGACUCUGGGAUAAGCCCGGGAAACUGGGUCUAAUACUGGAUGCUACAUGUCACCGCAUGGUGGUGUGUGGAAAGGGUUUACUGGUCUUGGAUGGGCUCACGGCCUAUCAGCUUGUUGGUGAGGUAAUGGCUCACCAAGGCGACGACGGGUAGCCGGCCUGAGAGGGUGACCGGCCACACUGGGACUGAGACACGGCCCAGACUCCUACGGGAGGCAGCAGUGGGGAAUAUUGCACAAUGGGCGAAAGCCUGAUGCAGCGACGCCGCGUGAGGGAUGACGGCCUUCGGGUUGUAAACCUCUUUCAGCAGGGAAGAAGCCACAAGUGACGGUACCUGCAGAAGAAGCGCCGGCUAACUACGUG